UGAAUAUCUCUUUUCCGGAUUUUUAUCAUUAACAGGUAUCGGCCUAAUUCUGCUCUGCAUGCAUUAUUUUGAUUUUGACGUUGUACACGGUGGAUAUUUUUGCAGAAUUCUCAAUUUGUGUUUGUCCCACUUUGUGAAUUCUUGGUUGGUGAGCAGACCCCAGACCUCACAACCAUGAAGGGCAAUGGGUUCUAUGACUGAUUCAAGUACUUUUAGCCAGAUCCUAAUUGGUAUAGGUUUUCACGUAUUCAGACGUUCCUGAGUUCUGGACAUACCAUAUUUUCCAGAAUACAUUGACAAGGGAUCAGGUGGCACAUGCAAUGUAAGAUCUCCAGUUUUGCAGCAUUCAAGUACAAAUACGUGACAACCACAACAUUGUGAGUGCCAAAAUGGCAAAGACCUUCUCAUAUUGAAGACAAGAUGUCGUUCAGGCCCUUCCUGUGAAGGACUUCAAAGAAAGAUGGCCAGCCCUGUUUGAGCCCACUCAGAUUAAGGAAGAGUUCAGAAGAAUUACAACUGUUGCUCUUGAGUCCACCUUUAUCCAGAAGCUGGACGAAUAUACACCAAAACUAUUGGACUUGUUUAAGUCAAAACGAGGUGCUGUAAAGUGCAACACCAUCCAGGAAAGAAGAGACAGUGUGAUCCGUGGCCUGAUCAUAUACCUUGGUGAGAGGUUUGAAGACCUUAUUACAGAAUACAAGGAUGCUAACGACGCCAUGAUCCGAGAGGACCUCGUUCAGCAUGUGAUGAAGGUGUUCACUGUGAAGGAUCUGCACCAGAAUAUAGAGCAUGUGAUCUACAAUCGAAGGAGCAGAGGUCCUGGCAGGUAUUUGCAGUGUUACAGUCAUGUAACAGGUACCCAAAAUAACUGAAAUAAGGUACCCAAAAGAACUGAAAUAUACCUUUGAGGUGUUCCAAAAAGUAUUCUUAGAACUUGAUGAUCUCAGGACCUUUCCACGGUUCCAAGCUCUAAAGAUGAAGUUACUUGUUUUCAGAGAUAUCUAUGAGAACUCUCAAAGGGCCACUCACAAACUGUGGUCUAAACCCUACUCAGUAAGCUGAUAAGCUAGUUGCUAGGUGGUAUAGGAGCUACAGUUUACAUGAUGUUCUUUUUCAAGUGAAGUCAUAAGAGACAUUGUUAAUUCCUGGUUAAAAAAACUGCUUUGUUUUAAAAGUUACUUCAUAUGCACUAGUGAAUUUCUGAGAUUAUUUGUAGUCAGGUGCAAGCUAUCUGGAUGCAACUUUACCUAAGGAGGCAAGGUGGAGUUGUACCCAGAAUGCUUAUACCUGUCAAAAUAAUAUGUCCAUAUGGGCUUCACUAGUGCAAAUGGAGUCAGGUUUAAGGGACAAUUUGGCAUAUAUUUUGUAACAAUAUGUGCAAUGUAUGUUUUGAAAAGCCAUGUUUUGAUUAAUCUAAAACAGUUUGAAUGAGGAGGUAUUUGAGCUAAAGUUCAUAUUGUGCUUUGUGUAAAGUCUAUUAAGAUAAAUCGUUAAUUUACGUUUCUGUUAAAAUAUCGCUUUGAUGUUAAGGGGCACACAGACCAGGGAAUUCUUGCUAAAAUGUACAAGAUGUGAGGUCUAAGUGCUAAUCCCAAACUAUCACCUAAACUUUAUGCAGCUGUGAAGAUCUGAAAUGAUUUGUAGUCAGGUGCAAGCUAUCUGGAUGUUAUACCCAGAAUGCUUACAGAUUACAAAAUAAUGAGCUCCACAAAUGCUUAAGGAGUAGGGUUUAAUUUGAGAUUGAAGUUUGAAGAAAACCUUUAUUCAAAAUAAAGUUGUUGAAGUUUGAAGUUGAACACUGUUGUUUCUUUUUGCAUAUUCCCUUCUAUAGAAAAAAAUAAAAAAACGUAAAUUAUCCCAAGUAUAUUGAGGUAACUAUUUGCAUCAGCUUUUUAAGUAUAGUUGUGAGUAUAUAUUUGAGUAGUAGGAACCCAAUUUAAAUACAUUUUACUAACCUGAGUACCAUAAGUAACUGAGCAAAAAACAUUUGUAGAUUAAACAUAGAAUAUAAAUUACGGUACUGAGUAAAUUCAGCAAAUGAAACUUACAAUAUUAGUUCAGUAACUGAUUACAUUAAGUAUAUCAAACGUAUAACAUUAGUUCUGGGACUUGAAGGACUUAAGCAGGUCAAAAAAAAAAACUGAUGAUCCUGAUAAAAUUAAGUUGAAUGAAAGGAAUUUUUGAGAUCCUGUUAGUUGUUUGCACUUAAAAUAUUUGAGUUUGUAAUGUACUAAAAGCGAAGUAUAUUAUACUUAAAUGAUCCUCCUUGUUGGAUUUACUUAAAAGACCGAUGCAAAUAAUGACCAAAUUUUUUGGAGGAAAAGGGGCACAAUAUUUUUUACAGUGCAAUGAUAACUCUCAUCACGAGUUCCCAUGAGAGCGAGAAAGAGAGAGACAUUUUUACACAUGCCUCCAAGCAUCCCAGUUCUCCUGAACUCAUAGCUAUCUGAACUUGGUUAUCUGGUGCAUCUAAUCCUAUUAGCACUCAC
rnacentral:lncRNA from 1 species